rnacentral:rRNA from 1 species
GAUGAACGCUAGCUACAGGCUUAACACAUGCAAGUCGAGGGGCAGCAUGAUUGAAGCUUGCUUCAAUCGAUGGCGACCGGCGCACGGGUGAGUAACACGUAUCCAACCUGCCGAUAACUCGGGGAUAGCCUUUCGAAAGAAAGAUUAAUACCCGAUAGUAUAGUAUUUCCGCAUGGUUUCACUAUUAAAGAACUUCGGUUAUCGAUGGGGAUGCGUUCCAUUAGAUAGUUGGCGGGGUAACGGCCCACCAAGUCAACGAUGGAUAGGGGUUCUGAGAGGAAGGUCCCCCACAUUGGAACUGAGACACGGUCCAAACUCCUACGGGAGGCAGCAGUGAGGAAUAGUGGUCAAUGGACGAGAGUCUGAACCAGCCAAGUAGCGUGAAGGAUGACUGCCCUAUGGGUGGUAAACUUCUUUUAUACGGGAAUAAAGUGGAGUAGGCAUACUCCUUUGUAUGUACCGUAUGAAUAAGGAUCGGCUAACUCCGUG